rnacentral:rRNA from 1 species
GACGUAGGGCGCGAGCGUUGUCCGGAUUUAUUGGGCGUAAAGAGCUCGUAGGCGGCUUGUCGCGUCGACUGUGAAAUCCCGCGGCUCAACUGCGGGUCUGCAGUCGAUACGGGCAGGCUAGAGUUCGGUAGGGGAGACUGGAAUUCCUGGUGUAGCGGUGAAAUGCGCAGAUAUCAGGAGGAACACCGGUGGCGAAGGCGGGUCUCUGGGCCGGUACUGACGCUGAGGUGCGAAAGCGUGGGGAGCAAACAGG